AGGACGAACGCUGGCGGCGUGCUUAACACAUGCAAGUCGAACGAGGUCCAUCCGGUGGCAACACUGGAGAAGACCUAGUGGCGAACGGGUGAGUAACACGUGAGGAACCUGCCCCGAAGACCGGGAUAACAGCGGGAAACCGCUGCUAAUACCGGAUGCCCCCAUCGGGCCACAUGGUCUGAUGAGGAAAUGGAUUCCGCUUCGGGAGGGCCUCGCGGCCUAUCAGCUUGUUGGUGAGGUGAUGGCUCACCAAGGCGACGACGGGUAGCUGGUCUGAGAGGACGAUCAGCCACACUGGGACUGAGACACGGCCCAGACUCCUACGGGAGGCAGCAGUGGGGAAUCUUGCGCAAUGGGCGAAAGCCUGACGCAGCAACGCCGCGUGGAGGACGAAGGCUUUCUGAGUUGUAAACUCCUUUCAGCAGGGACGAUUGUGACGGUACCUGCAGAAGAGCACCGGCCAACUACGUGCCAGCAGCCG
rnacentral:rRNA from 1 species